GACCACACUGGGUGCCACUCCUGUUAGAACAGGAAACUGAGGCUACAAUUCGCACAGGCUCACUAAAAUUGGACAAUAGAAGAUUGGAAAAACGUUGCCUGAUCUGAUGAGUCUCAAUUUCUACUGCGACAUUCGGAUAGUAAGGUCAGAAUUAGGCGUCAACAACGUGAAAGCAUGGAUCCAUCCUGCCUUGUAUCAAUUGUUCAGGCUGGUGGUGGUGGUGUAAUGGUGUGGGGGAUAUUUUCUUGGCACCCUUUGGGCCCCUUAGUACCAAUUGAGCAUCGUGUCAACGCCACAGCCUACUUGAGUAUUGUUGUUGACCAUGUCAUCCCUUUAUGACCACAGUGUACCCAUCUUCUGAUGGUUACUUCCAGCAGGAUAAUGCGCCAUGUCAUAAAGCACAAAUCAUCUCAGACUGGUUUCCUGAACAUGACAAUUAGUUCAAUGUACUCAAAUGGCCUCCACAGUUACCAGAUCUCAAUCCAAUAGAGCACCUUUGGGAUGUGGUGGAGCAGGAGAUGUGCAGCCGACAAAUCUGCAGCAUCUGUGUGAUGCAAUCAUGUCAAUAUGGACCAAACUCUCUGAGGAAUGUUUCCAGUACCUUGUCAAAUCUAUGCCACGAAGGACGAAGGCAGUUCUGCAGUUCUGAGGGCAAAAGGGGGUCCAACAAGGUACUAGUAAAGUGUACCUAAUAAAGUGACUGGUGAGUGUAGUUCUCAACACGGUUAUCCUGGGUUCAUUUCCUGGUCUCAGGCUCUUUGCUGCAUGCCUUUCCCUUCUCUCUGCGCCCUGCUUUCUGUCAAUCUACAGUUCAAUAAAGACAACUAGUGCCAAGAAAAUCUUCAAAACGUUUGAGUCACUUAUAUAUGUUUUAUCGUUAAGGUGGUGUAGUUCAGGGUGAUAUUCAGGCAGUGUUAUUUUUUCAUGACAUUUAGUGUUUUGGAUGUAGGCUAAUAACUUCAGUUUUGGUGCCAUCUGUCCCAAGUACACUGUUCUGUGUGCUUGCUGUGCCCCCUAUGUCUUGUGGUAAACCUAGAAACAGAAAUGUAUACCUUUAAAUCUGCUUUAAAAUUCUCCACAGCUUUCUCCCUGACCAAUGUGUUCCCUGGUCUUCAUGAUACUGAUUGUUAACCAAUGUUCUUCAACAAACAUCUAAGGCCUUUACAGGACAGGUGGAUUUAGGCUGAUAUUUAAGUCACAUAUUUGGACUCUAGAUUAUAUCUCUCCUGAAGGCAGUUGGUUGCACAGGACUUGAUUAAGGGGACUUAUUGCCACAUUUUUCAAAUUUUCCUUUGGAAAGACAAUGUAAAAAUCAUGUAUUCUUUUUCUUCCCUUUACAAUUAUGCACUACUUUAUGUCCGUCCAUUACAUUAAAAUGCAAUAAAAUACACUAAAAUUUUGAGUUUCAAUCUGGCAAAAUGUAAAGACGUACAAGGGGUAUGAAUAAUUCUGCAAGACACUGUAUAUUUAUUAUAUUUUUACACCUAUGUUUUCUUGCUACAUUUUGUUUUUAGAAUAUGUACAUCUGUAUACAUAAAAAAUAAUAAAUAUUAAAUAUUACAUAUUUAUUAGUACAGAAUAAACACAGGUAAAAAUGUUGUUUAAAGCUAUAUAAACUAAAUGAGUGAGGGUGCCACUAAGAGAAGCCCUCUGUUUAAACAGGCUUAAACCCAGCAAAGAUUAUUUUCAUUAAAUAAUAAGUUACUGUAAAAUUCUGAAAAAAGUGUUAUGUAUCAGUACGAGUCAAUUGAGCUGUGUACAUGAUUUCAACGUUUAUAAAACACAAAACUUAACUUGAACAACAUAAGUAGAGUUAAUAGAUUACUUUCUAAAUGUGAAUUCAACCAGUGUUUGCAGCGGAAUCAGGAAGGAGGUGAGGCUGUCAAGAUGAAGAUCACCAAAACUUAGGGCUGAAGAAGGAUGAGGAGCACUGAACCUUGGGUGCUGGGAGAACAAGAAUCAAGAUGUCUAUCUGUGAUUGUAUCAGUGCAGAACUCUACAGUGACAGCAAAGUAAUUUUCCCUCUUCCACCAGGACACGUUAAACAGAAUUACACCCACGAUUCACAUAGUUCCUGUGAUGGAUGGGCUUCGAUUGAAUCAUUAAAUCAUGUUAAGCAAUACGUCAAGCCAGUUUUUUCCAAAAUAAUAGAGGAAAUAAUAAAACUUGAAAAAUAAAUCUGAACAAAUUCCCAUGGAACCUUGGGAGAAACUUGUUAAAGAUAUGAGUAAUAAAACACCAGCCAAGCAGCUGUAGCUCACAGUAAAAAAAACAGAUCUGGCUGGUUUUCAUUUAUGGGCAUAAAAAAUGAAAUUAACUUCCCCCUAAUAUCCCCAGAGCCAUGAUCUUCCUGCUUCUCAAUAAUUCAUAUAGUAAUCUGCAAGAAGGUAUUAGUGCAGCACGAGCAACACAUGAGGGCUUCUUUGCAGUGCAGCUUGGUGGUGUGAUGGACACACUUUUUCAUUUGUGUGACACAGACGGACUGCCAAAGAUGAUCAAAGGAAAAAAUAACAGUCUGCACCCCUUCCUCUUCAUUUAGGACUUGAAAAUCCCUGUUCAUCAAUGAACAGUUCUCAUUUAUUAGUUUUUACUUACCUAUUUUUUGGUGUUUUAACUGUUCUUAUUCUGUUAGUUUUGUAGUGGAUGCUGGACUUUUACUGCUUAUUUCGUAUUUUGUGUAGCACUUUGGUCAGUUUAGGUGUGUAAAGUGCUUUAUAAAUAAAGCUUGAUUGAUUGA